GUGUGCGCUCACCGGAGCAUGCGCACAUCCGUCCGGGCAUGCGCGCCGCUACCUGACAGUGUUUUCCUUUAAAAUCCUGGAAGGAGGAGAGGAUGAGCUCAAGAGAAGAAAUUGGAGACAGAGGCCAGUCUGGUUAAAGAACUGCCUGGUGUCUGAGAUGGACUGGUUCAUUAUGAACAAGCAAUUCAAUCAUCGGGCGUGGGCACUGUCACUCAAUCCAGCUGGUGAGAAUGAGCACAGAGAAGAGUCUGGGAAGAGAGUGACAGUAGACUGGCAGCCUUUGUGAGGUCCCAGGAUCCUCCUGAGGGGCCUGAUUGAAGAUGGACUGCAAGUUCCCAAGGACUGGCCCACUCUCUUAAGCUAACAGAAUGAAGUCAGAUUAUCUCACACUGGAGCACAGGAGUCUUGCUUUUCUCAAAAUGUAGGGGAGUGACUUCGAGCUUCAGUGGCUGGUCUGGGAAAGCUCUAUAAUUUGAGGUUUCUAAGUAAUUUAACAUAGUCAUCCACACUGAAUCAUUUUCACUAAAAUAAGUUUGACAAUUAAAUUUAAAUUUGAGUAGAGAAAGAAAUUGUUAAGGAGAGGAAUUUUGUAUGUAAUUAAACAUGAAUUGUGUA